rnacentral:rRNA from 1 species
AUGGAGCACGGCCAGGCGACUAACCGCGUCGACGAGUACGGCAACCCGGUGGCCGGACAUGGCGUCGGCACCGGCAUGGGGGCGCACGGCGGCGUGGGCACCGGCGCGGCUGCUGGUGGGCAUUUCCAGCCCACGAGGGAGGAGCACAAGGCCGGAGGGAUCCUGCAGCGCUCCGGCAGCUCUAGUAGCUCCAGCUCGUCUGAGGAUGAUGGCAUGGGCGGGAGGAGGAAGAAGGGCAUCAAGGAUAAGAUCAAGGAGAAGCUUCCGGGUGGCCACGGUGACCAGCAGCAGACCGCUGGCACCUACGGGCAGCAGGGUCACACAGGAAUGACCGGCACUGGGGCGCAUGGCACCACGGCCACUGGCGGCACCUACGGGCAGCAGGGAGACACCGGAAUGACCGGCACGGGGACGCACGGCACCGACGGCGCCGGCGAGAAGAAAGGCAUCAUGGACAAGAUCAAGGAGAAGCUGCCCGGACAGCACUGA